GUUCACAUUUAACAGAGUGGUCAUGGUGAAUUAAAAAAUAACAGAAACAGAGGCCCCUCUUUCAAUGUCUGAAGAUUGGUUGUCUCAUAGCGGGCUGUCAGAGGGAGAAAUUCAGUUCCAUAGCCUCAAUGUGAGAUAUACUAAUAAUGAUGCAGGUGAGAUAUACUCCAAGGCAUGAAGAUGGGUAUUGUUGGUAGAAGGUAAAUCAACUCUCAUGCAUGCCCUUUUCCAUAUCAUGGAUCCUACUGUCCAAAUAAACCUUCACCCUCUAGGAGAGUACAGUGACAAUAAUAUCUGGGAGGUAUUCUCGAUGUUCAGAUGCUCAUUACUUGUGAUUUCUCAAAUUACUAAUCUUCCCACUGAUACUUUGCAAACCUUGUACUGGCAACAAUGGUUGUGUGCACUUCUCGAAUACAGAGGCCCUAUGAUCUUCUAAACUUAUCUGAAAAAUAUUAUUCGACUUUUCAGAUCUUGAAUUACUGUCAGCUAGGAGAUGAAGUUCGGAGAAAGGAGCUAAAACAUGACUCGCAAGGUCUGCUCUAUAUUGUACCAUACAGUUCGUAUUCUGGUAGUCUUGCUUCUUCCAAAAUUUCUAAAAUUUGAAAUUACCCUCGAAGUAGUAGAGAAUGGAGAAAACUGGAGUGUGGGCCAGUGUAAGCUUAUGUCUCGGUAGGGUGAUUCUUAGGUGGACCAAGAUACUGGUCUCAUCUGAAGUGGUUUGGAGUGGACGGGGAGUACAAUGUCAUGGUCAUUGAUCUUCUUGGUCCAAGUCUGAAGGACUUGUUCAACUAUUGCAACAGAAAAUUUACCCUUAAAACAGUACUUCUGCUUGUUGAUCACAUGAUCGCCAGGGUAGAGUACAUGCACUUGAGGGGCUUUUUCUUCAUCGUGAUAUAAAGCCAGACAACUUCCUUAUAGGUUUAGGCCGUACAAGAAGCAGGCCUAGAUGUGGAGUGUGGAGCAACCAAGGCCGACCAAGUUGUUGGAGGACAAAUUUUCUCUGUUCUCAAAGCUUGUGGUGGAAUACAUGAUGAGGUUGAUGCACCGUUGAGCCAGUGUCACAAAUGUUAUCAAAUGAAAAAUUCUCCUUAACCAAAUUGUUGUAUGCAAAUAUUAGGAAGGUACUACACCUCUUUGAUUCGUCGGAUCUGGUGAAGAAGCUGUCAUGUAAUGUGACAUUUGUAUAGCUAGGCGCACUACUGGGCAUCGAAGGUCGUGCCGGCUCUCCACUUAUUUCCUCAGGCGGCGUCCUUCUGCCAAUGGGGCCUUUGAGAGCGAGGAGCUUAAGAUUUAGAGGAGAAUAGAAGGCUGAGGCCGGGGAAGCCAGCAUAUCAUGAACUAACUGGAGGAGCUGAGCUGGAUUUGUAGGGUGUGCUCCACUGACCAGCUUCUCUCGUCUACCCGGAUGAUGAUAGUAUGUAAAGGAAUGAAUAAAUACUUCUCAUCAGGGAUAAAAG